GCUCGGUUGUUUCGGCGAAAUUAUCUACCAUUGUUAUGAUUUUGAAUUUUGCUCGGUUGUUUGUUUUUGUUUUCAUAUUUUGGGAGAGCUUGGUGGGCCUAUCUUUGUUAUGCUGAUCUGUGACUUGGUUUGAAGAACUAUGCUACUAUUCUUUCUUCUUGGUUCUUUUUCUACAAUCUGUUUGUUACAGCCUAAUUUUAAUUUUCAUGUGGUGUUAACAGAGUAAGAUUCACUGUCUCAAGUGUCUGUGCUGCAUAUCCUCUGCGGACGAAUCAACCUUACACAUGAACCAGAAUGUCCGUUGAUGGUGUGAUGUGGUAAUAUUGAUUUUUGUGUGUUGUUUAUCAGAUAUCUGAGUAUUGGGAGAGCUUUUCGAAUGUAUAAUUUUGUUGUGGAUCUGUCUUUUUCAAGGUUGACAUGGAAGAAGCAAAAAAACAAGAAAAUGAAAAUUUACAAUCUGCUUUGCACGAGAUGCAACUUCAGUUCAACGAAACCAAGUCAUUGAUUCAAAAGGAGCGUGAGGCUGCAUAAAGAGAAGUAGAGAGAGUGCCUGUCAUACAUGAGGUUCCUGUUGUUGACCAUCCUUUGUUGGAGAAGCUAACUAGUGAAAAUGAGCAACUCAAGACCUUGGUGACUUCAUUGGAAAAGAAAAUUGAUGAAACAAAGAAAAGGUAUGAAGAGGCAAAUAAACUCAGUGAAGAAAGGUUGAAGCAAGCUUUGGAUGCUGAGUCAAAAAUAGUCCAGUUGCAAACUUCUAUGCAAAGGUUUAGAUUUUGAAUUAACGCUUUGUUGGUAUCCUGUACAUAAUGUAUACCAUUUUGACCCUUUUUACUUAAAUAUUCUGAGAUAUGGAAUAUGAAAAUCAAGUUCUUCGGCAACAGUCUCUGCUUAACUCAUCUGUCAAAACGAUGUCAGAGCACCUUUCUACCCAUGUAUAUGAGAAGUUGGAAAAUGGUCACCAUUUGGUAGAAGAUCAGAAAGCUACUGAAACACAGACUGACACACCUGUGAAAAAGUUCGUUAUAGAGUCUGAUAGCAAAUUAAGGAGAUCAUACAUUGAACGUCAACAUGAAAAUGUUGAUUCCCUUAUCAAUUGUGUUAUGAAAAAUAUUGGAUUCCAUCAUGCAAAGCCUAUUGCUACAUUCACCAUUUACAAAUGUCUUCACUGGAAAUCAUUCAAAGCUGAAAGGACAAGUGUAUUUGAUCGCCUUAUCCAGAUGAUUGGUUGUGCAAUUUAGACGACAAUUAUCUCAUGGCUUACUGGCUGUAAAAUACAUCUACACUAUUGUUUCUGCUCCAACAAAGUUUAAAAUCCGGUGGUUCAAAUGACGCAACCCCAGUUAGAAAACCACCAAAUCCAACAUCCCUCUUUGGCAGAAUGACUAUGGGUUUUCGGUCAUCUCCUUCGUCUGCCAACCUUUCUACCCCAUCGGAGGUUGUACGCAAAGUAGAGGCUUAGUAUCCUGCUUUGCUUUUCAAGCAACAACUCACAACCUAUGUGGAGACAAUAUAUGGUAUCUUGCGGGACAACUUGAAGAAAGAGUUGGCAUCAUUUAUUUCGUUAUGUAUCCAGGCACCAAGGACAUCUAAGGGAGUCUUAAGAUCUGGCCGAUCUUUUAGUAAAGAUUCUCCCAUGGGUCAUUGGCGGAGUAUUAUUGAAUCCCUCAACAGUAUUCUCUCUACUAUGAAAGAGAACUUUGUGCCUCCUGUCCUUGUCCAAAAGAUCUUCUCUCAAACAUUUUCAUAUAUUAAUGUUCAACUCUUCAACAGUCUUCUUCUGCGGUGAUUGUUGCCCAUUCAGCAAUGGAGAAUAUGUGAAGGCUGGUUUAGCAUAAUUGGAGCUAUGGUGUUGCCAAGCAAAGGAGGAGUAUGUUGGGACAUCUUGGGAUGAGCUCAAGCACAUUAGACAGGCAGCUGGAUUCUUGGCAAGUGUUUCUUCGGAAAGUCUAACCAAAUUGCCUUGGGUUUGCAGUAUGCUGGGACAUCUUGGGAUGAGCUCAAGCACAUUAGACAGGCAGUUGGAUUCUUGUGCAGUGUGUUUUGAAACAAUAACAAAAACGACGUUGCUUUAUGGCUUUGAUACAUUUGAGUUGUUUUCUCAGGUUUAUUUUGGAACCUCUACUUGUAAUGCGAAUUACUUUCAUUUAAUUUUUUAUCAUUCGAUUCUUAUUGUCUAGUCUUCUGGAUUUUUUCCUUUAUGAUUUACCAUUAAUACUUAUUUCUUCCUAUGAUGUUCACAUACUUUCCGUUCAACCUAUAAUGCGUAGCUUGCAAGGGAUCUAGUGGCAGGAAGAGGUUCACAUACUUCCUUCCCAGCCUUGGGAUAAAACAAUUGUUUUACUUACAAGUUACAUGUGUGUAUUUGUUUUGAGAUAGUGUUGGAAGCCAAAAUUUGUUCAUUUAAUAUGGCCUUGAUCUUGCAAAUUGGUUGGAAAUUUGGUCAACUCUUCUAAGAAUCUUUACAUUUCAGGCUUUUUUUGAUACUCAACAUAUACUUUUGUAAGUUCUUGAGUUUUCUUUGUGGGUACAGGCGAGAGAGCCUAUAAAUAUGUGCUUUACUGUGGAACCCAUGGCAAACAGAGGCUCACUCUUUUUUAUAUAAUUUGUCAUUCAAUAAAUUUGCUAUCGUUGUUAAAAUAAAAAGAAUAUCUUAUAUUCGUUGAUCCAUUUUUGCAGUGAGCUUAUUUCUGAUUUUUGGAUAUCUGGAACAAUUUGCAAUUCUUGAUGAUAAUGAAUAAGAAUGAUGAUAAUGGCUAGUGUAGCGGGCUAAGAAGUUUCAAUUUUUAGAAUGCGUUGAUAAAAUGGACAAGAACAUGGAGCCAAGAGUUUUAAUUUGGUGAUCUUUGCGGGUUAAGAAGUUUCGAUGUCUAGAAUGACUUGAUAAAAUGGACAAGAAUGAAGAAAGAUUCAAUAUAGAUAAAUCAAAUUUCUUCAUGUUCUGUAUUCUUAUUCUUUUCUGCUUGAUAAUUUGGUAUUUUGGUUGUGGUUGGUUUCAUUCUUGGAGUUUGCUGGUUUUAUUGUAAUGAUUUAAUUAAUAUUAUUAUCGAUUUCAUUCUUAAUAGACUUGUUCUUCCAAUGCCUCUUAUUUUUCAGAUAUAAUUCUUCGUAUACAGAUGGGUGUUUUGCUUUUAAUCUGUUGG